rnacentral:rRNA from 1 species
UACGUAGGGCGCAAGCGUUAUCCGGAAUUAUUGGGCGUAAAGAGCUCGUAGGCGGUUUGUCGCGUCUGCCGUGAAAGUCCGGGGCUCAACUCCGGAUCUGCGGUAGGUACGGGCAGACUAGAGUGAUGUAGGGGAGACUGGAAUUCCUGGUGUAGCGGUGAAAUGCGCAGAUAUCAGGAGGAACACCGAUGGCGAAGGCAGGUCUCUGGGCCGGUACCGACGCUGAGGAGCGAAAGCGUGGGGAGCGAACAGG